rnacentral:rRNA from 1 species
GAUGAACGCUGGCGGCGUGCCUAAUACAUGCAAGUCGAGCGAACAGACGAGGAGCUUGCUCCUCUGACGUUAGCGGCGGACGGGUGAGUAACACGUGGAUAACCUACCUAUAAGACUGGGAUAACUUCGGGAAACCGGAGCUAAUACCGGAUAACAUGUUGAACCGCAUGGUUCAACAGUGAAAGACGGUCUUGCUGUCGCUUAUAGAUGGAUCCGCGCCGCAUUGGCUAGUUGGUAAGGUAACGGGUUACCAAGGCAACGAUGCGUAGCCGACCUGAGAGGGUGAUCGGCCACACUGGAGCGGAGACACGGUCCAGACUCCUGCGGGAGGCAGCAGUAGGGAAUCUUCGGCAAUGGGCGAAAGCCUGACGGAGCAACGCCGCGUGAGUGAAGAAGGUCUUCGGAGCGUAAAACUCUGUUAUUAGGGAAGAACAAAUGUGUAAGUAACUAUGCACGUCUUGACGGUACCUAAUCAGAAAGCCACGGCUAACUACGUG